rnacentral:ncRNA from 2 species
GGAAGUUCUCAGGGCGGGGUGAAAGUCCCCACCGGCGGUAAUCGUGCUGAAUAAUAGUAAUCACGUAGCCCGCGGGCGCUUUUUUGACUCCUCAUGAGUUUAAGAAGAACAGCAGAUCUGGUGUGAUUCCGGAGCCGACAGUUAAAGUCUGGUUAUGAGAAUGAGG